GCCGUCCAGCCAGUACGGUGGAUAGGACUCUCAGCUUGUAACCGAGUGGGUUCGGGUUCAAAUCCCGAGUAAGGCA